rnacentral:rRNA from 1 species
AUGUCCCUGAUGAACGCUAGUUGUGCAUUAACUGAAGAUUUCAGAAUCUUUCUGCAGCAUAUAUCAUUAUCAGGUGCCUUGCAAUCCUUUUAUCCCUAUCACCAUCUGUGCAUUGGAGAAACAAAAUUAGCUUUCAAUUUUGCUGAAAAAAGGGAACAUGUAUACGAAAGUAAUGCAGAUGACAGAGGAAAUUACCCGGUGGUCAGAAAGUUUGAUGUGGCAAGUUUCAGUUUCUCACAAGACUCAACAGCCUGCACACUGAAGUGUACUUCCAUUGAAGAGAUUCUGAUGCGCUGUGGGAGGCCACACCGCAUCAUUCAAAGGUGCUCUGCCUGGAUGGACAGAACUGUGACGGCUUAA